ACACAUAUUGUUGUGAUGAUCAGUAUCCUACAGUAUUCAGAGAAGGAAGGAGGUAAAAUAAAAAAAAAGACAGCAACAGCAGGAGGACUCAAUCUCGUUCUGGUUCUUGUUCUUGUUCUUGUUCUUAUUCU
rnacentral:ribozyme from 1 species